rnacentral:rRNA from 1 species
GAGAGACUCGCCGACGAUCUGCUCGUCGAGAUCCUCGCGCGCGUCCCCGCAAGAUCAGUGUGCCGCUUCAAGUGGGUCUCCAAGGACUGGCUCAGCCUCAUCGACCACCCCGAUCACCGCAGGAAGCUCCCUCAAACCCUAGCAGGCUUUUUUUACACUAGGAGCGACAACGGGGAGUUGCCUCUGGAAACAGAAGUCCGCUUCGCCGGUGUCUCGGGGAAACGCUGCCCUCCAGUCGACACCUCUUUUUCCUUCCUGCCCAGCCACCGGCGCGUCGAUCUACUAGACUGCUGCAAUGGCCUCCUCCUCUGUCGCUGGUACGGCGUUUCCUCUCUUGGUGAUGAGUUUUGUUACAUCGUGUGCAAUCCUGCCACGAAGGAGUGGGUUUCGUUGCCCGACCGUAGCCAUGAAAACAAGGUGGGCAUAGAGCGUCUGGGUUUCGAUCCGACCAUGUCUUCCCACUUCUAUGUGUUUGUGUUGCUAGAGAAUGUCAACUUUAACGCCUACCUUUCUGAAGUGGAAGUGUAUUCGUCGGAAACCAAGAGAUGGGUUUACAAGGAAAUUGGAUGGAACAAAAGAAUUGUGCUUCCUGCUGAGCAGUCUAGCGCUGUCUUCCUCAACGGCUGUUUGUAUUUUUACUCCUUCGGCAAAAGGUCACCCUUUUUUAUAGGUGUGGUAGACACGGCGGGGGAAACAUCAAUGAACUUCCAUAUCCCUGAUAAUUUGAAUAAUGGUUUUAUUCAGCACUCACAGGACUGUCUGCAUUAUGCCAAGUUCAAGAGAGGUGAUGGUAAUGUGGUUCGACUAGUAGUCUAUGUUCUCGAGGACUAUGACCGCAAAAAGUGGAAACUGAAGCAUAGUGUUAAAACUUCAGACAUAUUUGGAGGGACACAUGUUACAGAUUCCGAUUCGUUUGCAAUUCAUCCGGUCGAUUCCCGUUGGAUUGCGAUUCAUCCGGAAUGUAACUUAAUUUUCUUCACUGUGGGGUCAGCUUCCACAUUAAUGUGCUAUGAUAUGGACCGUCGACAAGUCAAAGUGAUCUGCAGUCUUGAUGGUUAUCUGCCACGCCUGCCAUAUGUGCCAUUGUAUGCAGAGUUGCAAUCACUGCAU